AAAAAUUGAACAGAGAAGGCAGAGCAUGUUAUAUAUAUAUAACUGCAUUUAAGCAGUACCAAACUGAAAACUGAAAAAAAGGUAACAAAUGUUUUGAAAUAUACUUAAUAAACUUUCAAGAAAGAGCAUUGUUAUAAGGUGAUUUAUACAAUUUCCAUAUGGAAAUAAAGCUGAAAAGAAUUGUAUAAUAUUUUUAUAAGAGACUCACCACUUACAAUGCCUCAUCCUACAUCAGUAAUUAACUCAGGUUUGAUAGUCCAAAAAAAGUGAUCAGUUAAAUGAUUACUUACUUAUAUGUAUCUAAACUAAGUCCAGUUAUGAAAUCAGUAUAAUACACUGGUUAAAAACUGCUUCUUUUUAUGCUUUAAGGAAAAUGCAUUUCAUAUUGGAGUUUAAAGAUAUUGAAAAUUAAGUUACUUAAGGCAGGUUAACAUGUUUAAAAAGAAAGAAGGAAAAAGUACUCUAUGAUAUGGUUACUAAAAUUUUAAUCCUGAUAUAAUUCAUUUCUCUUACAUUGAAUCCCCAAUCAUAAUUAAGCUGUAUACACAGAUUAAAUUAAC
rnacentral:lncRNA from 1 species